rnacentral:lncRNA from 1 species
AAGAAUUGUUCUAUCAGCACCUUCUAGAGCCAACAAUACCCGUGCUUGUUCCAACGACUCGCUGCUGCCAGCAUGUAGUGCAAGGUAGCAAAGAAGAGUUAGCGCAUGAUGCAUUUGGUUAACUUCGUUACUCCUCAGCAGUUUCAUCACUGCCGGGACUGCAUCAAAUUCAAUUAUUUUCUUAGAAUGCUCGACAUAUAGGAAAUUAUCUGGAGAAGCAAACUUGGUAAGAGCAACGGCUGCUUCAUCUGCUACAUUUAUGUCUCUAUUACUCAGCUGUGCUACUAGAGGUUCAAUUACUCGAGUCUCUCUAGCAGGAAACGUCCUAGCCAACGAACCAAUAGACUUAAUCGCCGGAAUUUGCAUCAACGGGCUAUCAACCUCUUUAAGUAUCCUCAACAGCUGCUCCACAACAGCUUUAGCAGGAGGUGAGUUGGUCUUAAACGCACCUCGUCGAAGAUCAGCAUUAGAUUCAGCUGCAGCCGUUAUCUCCAUUAUAGUCAUCAAACAAUUCCGCUGCAACUCCCCCUGUUCCUUCUCAACAAUCUUAGCCAAACAAAGCAUCCCUUUCGUCUCGGUUAUCUUCCUACUAUUCGACACACUCCCUGCCGCAAGCAUCCACAACGCCUCAGCACAACUAAUUUUAAGCUGAAGCUUCACGGCAGGAUCCUCAUUCUCCCUCUCCUUCCUAUAAUUCCCUCCACGGCUACUCCCCUCAGUAUAAUAAUAAGUACUCGAAUACGAAUUUGCAAACUGUCGACUACCACUUCCAGUACCAGACCUAUCCGUCGUCUUCUUACCUAACUCCUUAUUAACCUGAAAAAUAGAAUGAAUACUCGUCUGCUCAUCCACAGCCGUAUCAAACGACAAAAGUGUAACAAGCGGUCUAAUCGCAUUCUCCCUCGCGAAAUCCUCUUGAGCAACAGGAUCAUGUUUAGCCAUCCUAGCAACCAAAUUAGCCGCUAGCGUUUGAACCCUAAUCGGCGAAUCAGCAAGAACCUGAACAACAGCAGGUACACCAACUUCAUUCACAAUAACCCUAAUUCUCUCCAAAUCAUUAGCCAAAUAACACAAACAAGUAGCCGCCGCAAUUUGUGCUGCAGGCGAAGAAGCUUCUUUCAAAAGCUUCAAAAGAGGCGGAACACCGCCUUCUUCAACAAUAAUCUUCUUAUUCCUAUCAUUAUCUUGUGCUAACGAAGCAAGUUCAUUUGUAGCUUCAAUUUUAUCAUUCAAUUGACCCAUUUGAAUUGAAGCUAUAAAAGACCAUACCCAUGACAGAAUUGGAUCAUUACUCGCAAUCGGUGGAAGCGAUAAGUUAAUUCCACCGCCGCCGCCGGAGCCGUCGACGUCGAGGAUACUUAAAAGCCACUUCAUAUCACCGACGGAGGCGUCGAGAUAAACAAGAACUUUCCGAAAGUCAGCGGCGGUGACGAUGGUGACAACACGGUGGAGAAUACUCCGGCGUUUACAUUUACGAAUUAAAGUUAAAGCGCGUUCAAGAUUCUUGGCGGCUUCAGCGGCGACACGGCGGACGGGACGUUCGUAAAGCGGCGGAGGAGCGGUGGCGGCGAAUCGGACGAGUGUACGGAGCAUUUGAAGGAGACGUUCGACGUGUUUCCAGACUUCGGAGCAUUCGAGUUUGAAGGAAUCGGUUUCUUCUGUGGCGGAGCGAAUUCGUUCGGCGACGAGAAUUGGAUAGGAAAGUUCUUCUUCUAAGCGUUUUGCUUCUGGUGAAGAAGACAUGGUUAAGGGAAGGGACGAGUUGAGUGAGUUGAAAAUGAGUGAGUCAGGUGGGAUUCGAGUUGGGAAUCGGAAGAAGAAUAUUGGCGUUUUUGUGAGGAUUAUUAGCACGCAUG